rnacentral:misc_RNA from 1 species
UUAACUAUUAGAUAGUACUCAGACAUCACUAAAAUCACGAGUUGGGGUCCUCCGGCGGGCACUCCCCAGCGUGAGCCGGGGGCUUGACGCGGCCCGCCAAAGCAACAAAGGUAGAGUAGACAGAGGGUUUAGCGUGACGCCGUAGUGCCCGCAAGCGGGCUUCGGGCGCGGCGGGGGCUUGACCCCGCCCGCAUUUAAUGAUCCUUCCGCAGGUUCACCUACGGAGA